rnacentral:tRNA from 1 species
GGAGCAGUAAGCAUAGCUGGUACUGCGGCGGUUUGCUAAACCGCUCCACGAUCCGUCGUGGCGCCGGUUCGAGUCCGGCCUGUUCCGCCA